rnacentral:rRNA from 1 species
GACGAACGCUGGCGGCGUGCCUAAUACAUGCAAGUCGAGCGGAAUGAUGAAGAAGCUUGCUUCUUCUGAUUUUAGCGGCGGACGGGUGAGUAACACGUGGGCAACCUACCUUGUAGAUUGGGAUAACUCCGGGAAACCGGGGCUAAUACCGAAUAAUCCAUUUCGCUUCAUGGCGGAAUGUUAAAAGGCGGCUUUUAGCUGUCACUGCAAGAUGGGCCCGCGGCGCAUUAGCUAGUUGGUAGGGUAACGGCCUACCAAGGCGACGAUGCGUAGCCGACCUGAGAGGGUGAUCGGCCACACUGGGACUGAGACACGGCCCAGACUCCUACGGGAGGCAGCAGUAGGGAAUCUUCCACAAUGGACGAAAGUCUGAUGGAGCAACGCCGCGUGAGUGAAGAAGGUUUUCGGAUCGUAAAACUCUGUUGUAAGGGAAGAACACGUACGAGAGUAACUGCUCGUACCUUGACGGUACCUUAUUAGAAAGCCACGGCUAACUACGUGCCAGCCGCCGCGGUAAGAC